rnacentral:rRNA from 1 species
GACGAACGCUGGCGGCGUGCUUAACACAUGCAAGUCGAACGGAAAGGCCCUGCUUGCAGGGUACUCGAGGGGCGAACGGGUGAGUAACACGUGGGUGAUCUGCCCUGCACUUCGGGAUAAGCCUGGGAAACGGGGUCUAAUACCGGAUAGGAGCCAUUUUGAGUGUGAUUGUUGGAAAGUUUUUUCGGUGUAGUAUGAGCUCGCGGCCUAUCAGCUUGUUGGUGGGGUAAUGGCCUACCAAGGCGGCGACGGGUAGCCGGCCUGGGAGGGUGGACGGCCACAUUGGGACUGAGAUACGGCCACGGCCCCUACGGGAGGCAGAAGUGGGGAAUAUUGAACAAUGGGAGCGAGCCUGAUGCAGCGCCGCCGCGUGGGGGAUGAUGGCCUUGGGGUUGUAAACUCCUUUCGCUAGGGACGAAGCUUUUUGUGACGGUACCUAGAUAAGAAGCACCGGCUAACUACGUG